rnacentral:tRNA from 1 species
GUAGAUGUCGCCAAGUGGUUAAGGCAGUGGAUUGUGGUUCCAUGAUUCACCGGUUCAAAUCCGGUCAUUUACC